UACAUGGGGUGCAAACGUUGCUCGGAAUUAUUGGGCGUAAAGCGCGCGUAGGCGGUUAAUUAAGUCGGAUGUGAAAGCCCUCGGCUUAACUGAGGAAGUGCAUCCGAAACUGAGUAGCUAGAGUACGAAAGAGGGUCGCGGAAUUCCCGGUGUAGAGGUGAAAUUCGUAGAUAUCGGGAGGAACACCGGUGGCGAAGGCGGCGACCUGGGUCGAGACUGACGCUGAUGCGCGAAAGCGUGGGGAGCAAACAGG
rnacentral:rRNA from 1 species